CCCUUAGAUGUUCUGGGCCACACGCGCGUUACACUGAUGAAGCCAGCGAGUAUAUCGCCUUCACCGGAAGGUGCGGGUAAUCUUGUGAAACUUCAUCGUGCUGGGGAUAGACCAUUGCAAUUAUUGGUCUUGAACGAGGAAUUCCUAGUAAGCAUGAGUCAUCAACUCGUGCUGAUUACGUCCCUGCCCUUUGUACACACCGCCCGUCGCUACUACCGAUUGAAUGGUUUAGUGGGAUCUCGGGAUUGGAGACGUUGCGCCGCAAGGCACAUCGUCCUCGAGAACUUGAUCAAACUUGAUCAUUUAGAGGAAGUAAAAGUCGUAACA
rnacentral:rRNA from 1 species